CUACGGGACGCAGCAGUAGGGAAUCUUAGACAAUGGGGGAAACCCUGAUCUAGCCAUGCCGCGUGAGUGAUGAAGGCCUUAGGGUUGUAAAGCUCUUUCGCUGGGGAAGAUAAUGACGGUACCCAGUAAAGAAACCCCGGCUAACUCCGUGCCAGCAGCCGCGGUAAUACGGAGGGGGUUAGCGUUGUUCGGAAUUACUGGGCGUAAAGCGCGCGUAGGCGGGCUAUUAAGUCAGGGGUGAAAUCCCGGGGCUCAACCCCGGAACUGCCUUUGAUACUGGUAGUCUUGAGUUCGAGAGAGGUGAGUGGAAUUCCGAGUGUAGAGGUGAAAUUCGUAGAUAUUCGGAGGAACAUCAGUGGCGAAGGCGACUCACUGGCUCGAUACUGACGCUGAGGUGCGAAAGUGUGGGGAGCAAACAGGAUUAGAUACCCGCGUAGUC
rnacentral:rRNA from 1 species